AGCCAAAUUUUGGAACCACUGUCUUACACCCUGGCCACUUUCCCCUUUCCCGUUGCCUCCCUUGGCGCGCCCUGAGCCAUUUGACUCCUGCUCUUCUCCAGAUCCCAAAGUUUGGCUUCCCAGGCUGUGCCAGGCCGGCUUGGCCCUGCCCACUGCUUUAAUCCCACCCUAGUUCUGGGAUUGUGAAGCCAAACAUUUCCUCCUUCACUCCUCCCCAAGUCCCUUCUUAGUGUAGGUGGUUUUACUUUUUGGGGGCGUUUCGGGUGAGGACCUUUGUCCGAGACUUCUGAAAAAACGAAAGAACUCCGAUCCUCCUCUGCCUGUAGAUGUGAUGGAUUACAUUAAUUGAUGUUUGGAUGUUGAACCACCCUUGUGUACCUGGGAUGAAUUCUACUUGGUCAAGUUCUGUCAGUUUUUGUCUCACACAUUUUGCUGCUAUGCUGUUGGGUACGUGUGAAUUAAGGUCUGAGUUUCUGCCCUGCAUCAUUUUCUUUGUCACAGAGGAACAUCUUUUAACAUUCUCGCAAGGAGAACACAGACCGUGCUCCAACAAGUGUCUGACAACAAUUUGAAGCUUGAUGUUGAGCCCUUCAAAACCACACAGUCUUAGGUGGUAGCAGCAGGAAGUUCACCAGUGGGACAGCAGAGAAAUUGCGAGAAGCCCUACUGAGGAAGCCCCAGUGGGCUGGGGCCGUCUUGUUUUUUGCUGAGGAAGAUUCACCCUGAGCUAACAUCUGUGCCAAUCUUCCUCUAUAUUGUAUGUGGGUUGCCGCCACAGCAUGGCCACUGAUGAGUGGUGUAGGUCCGCACCCAGGAGCCAAACCCGAGCUGCAGAAGCGGAGAACACUGGACUUAAUCACUAAGCCAUGGGGCUGGUGGGGCCAUCAUUUUUGCUCACGUUCCUCCUCUUCUAGUUCUUGUCUUCCCCACCCACCCCCUCCUGGUCAUCUCUUUUUCAUUCUUUCCUGUCCUCUCCAUUUAUCUACAUCAGUCACAAAUCUUUCAAAGGUGAGCCUGUUCCCUCUGCCUACCCAAGACAUCCUCCAUGCAGCCCACCUCCUUCUCUCCCACUUGAGUUUGGUGACCCAGAGCUUGUAAGUGUGUUGUCACACCACAACCAGAAGUGGUUCAUGAAAUGAGACAAGCUGGGAAAUAAGGCUGUAAGUGAUUCCUUCCUCUACAGAAUUACAUGGAGUGCUGUGGUGCUGAGCCCUGUAUUGGUCUUGAAAACUGGACAUUUCCUCAGCAACUUGAUAAGAAUUCGCUAUGAGGCUGACUAGAAUCUGGGGGUUGGAGGGGAAACUGAGGCCUAGAGCAAAGAGGUAACUGUACAAGUUUCACUGCUAGAGGGCUCUGCCUGGCCCAGGGACUUACUAAGGCAUGGCUCAGAAAUGAUCCUGGGUAACUGCUUUGUUUUGCAAAUUGCAAAACUGAGGUCUGGAGACACCAAUGACUUGCCCAGGGCAUAUGGCUUGUUCCCAAAGACUAGGACUACAGCCCAGGACUCCUGACUCUUCUUCCUAGAACACCUCAGCUGCCUCAGUCUUCUCCAGAGUGACCUUUAGAGACUAGUUUAAUUUUAUAAGCUGGUGGGGCUUGCAGUAAGAACUUUGAAGAAGAAAUGUCAAAAGGAAUCAACAAGAAUAAAAAUGGAGAGGAGAUCACAAAGCUCAGUGUCCCUUGAGGCUUUUCCUAUCUCUUUC
rnacentral:lncRNA from 1 species